GAGUUUGAUCAGGCUCAGAGCGAACGUUAGCGGCGGGCCUAACACAUGCAAGUCGAACGAGAAUGAGGGGGCAACUCCUCUAGUAAAGUGGCGGACGGGUGCGUAACACGUGGGUAAUCUACCUUCCGGUGUGGGACAACAGACCUAACGGACUGCUAAUACCACAUACGUCGGCGGGGACUCCGGUCCCUGUCGAGAAAGAUGGCCUCUCCUUGGAAGCUGUCACUGGAAGAUGAACCCGCGGCCCAUCAGCUAGUUGGUGAGGUAACGGCUCACCAAGGCUAUGACGGGUAGCUGGUCUGAGAGGAUGAUCAACCACACUGGGACUGCGACACGGCCCAGACUCCUACGGGAGGCAGCAGUGGGGAAUAUUGGGCAAUGGGCGAAAGCCUGACCCAGCCACGCCGCGUGAGUGAUGGAGCCUUUCGGGUCGUAAAGCUCUGUGGGGAGGGACGAACAAGCACGGACCAACACGUUCCGGGCCUGACGGUACCUCCUUAGCAAGCACCGGCUAACCAUGUGCCAGCAGCCGCGGUAAUACAUGGGGUGCAAACGUUGCUCGGAAUCAUUGGGCGUAAAGCGCACGUAGGCGGCCGCUUAAGUCGGAUGUGAAAUCCCUCGGCUUAACUGAGGAAGUGCAUCCGAAACUGAUUGGCUUGAGUACGAAAGAGGGUCGCGGAAUUCCCGGCGUAGAGGUGAAAUGCGUAGAUAUCCGCAGGAACAUCCGAGGCGAAGGCGGCUCGCUGGAUCGCAACUGACGCUGAGGGACGAAAGCUAGGGGAGCAAACAGGAUUAGAUACCCUGGUAGCCCUAGCCCUAAACCAUCAGGACUUGGGGUUUGCCCUGUACGGGGCAAGUCCCGUAGCUAACGCGUUAAGUCCUGCGCCUGGGGAGUACCGUCGCAAGGCUGAAACUCAAAGGAAUUGACCGGGGCCCGCACAAGCCGUGGAACAUGUGGUUCAAUUUCGACGCAACGCGAAGAACCUUACCUGGGCUUGAACCGCACCGGACCAUCCUGGAAACAGGGACUUCCCGCAAGGGAUCGGUGUAGAGGUGCUGCAUGGCUGUCGUCAGCUCGUGCCGUGAGGUGUUGGGCUAAGCCCCGCAACGAGCGCAACCCUUACUCGUAGUUGCCACCCGCAAGGGGGAACUCUACGAGGACUGCUCCGGAUAACGGAGAGGAAGGUGGGGAUGAGGUCAAGUCAGCAUGGCCUUUAUGUCCAGGGCUACACACGUGUUACAAUGCGCGCUACAGAGCGUCGCGAACCCGCGAGGGGGAGCUAAUCGCAAAAAAGUGCGCUCAGUUCGGAUUGCAGUCUGCAACUCGACUGCAUGAAGCUGGAAUCGCUAGUAAUGGCGCAUCAGAUCGGUGCCGUGAAUACGUUCCCGGGCCUUGUACACACCGCCCGUCACAUCACGAAAGUGGGCUGUACUAGAAGUCGCCGUGCCAACCGCAAGGGGGCAGGCGCCCAAGGUAUGACUCAUGAUUGGGGUGAAGUCGUAACAAGGUAACCGU
rnacentral:rRNA from 1 species